UACGUAGGGUGCGAGCGUUGUCCGGAAUUAUUGGGCGUAAAGAGCUUGUAGGCGGUUUGUCGCGUCUGCUGUGAAAAUCCGGGGCUCAACCCCGGACUUGCAGUGGGUACGGGCAGACUAGAGUGUGGUAGGGGAGACUGGAAUUCCUGGUGUAGCGGUGAAAUGCGCAGAUAUCAGGAGGAACACCGGUGGCGAAGGCGGUUCUCUGGGCCUUACCUGACACUGAGGAGCGAAAGCGUGGGGAGCGAACAGG
rnacentral:rRNA from 1 species